rnacentral:sRNA from 1 species
GGCCGGAUUCUGUGCGCAGGCGGCGGCGCGGCCCAGGGCAGGCGGCCCGGUGGUCGCGCGGGGACGACCCCGCGAGAUGCGUGCCGGCGCCCCCACCCCCUGCACCCGCUCCCGGAGUGGGAGAGGGCGGGGCCUCGGCUGGGAGGUCGACCAUUGGUUACAGGGUCGCUGAGAGGCCCAGGCUAGCCAAUCGCAUCCGAGGAGAGCCUUACUCACCCGCCCGGAGCGUGUCGGAACCCACGGAACGCGCGGUUUGUGCGUGAGUCCGUGUGACUGUGUAUUUGCGCGCGUGUAAGAACUACUGCGGACUGGGCCACAGUCUUUUUUUUAAGACCCCGCAUGUAAUUUAAAAGGGGGAUUCUGCCAAAAACAAGUUUGCAGAAAUGCAGCAUGUUUUAACACUUACGCGGAACGAAAUAAGCUCAUGGUGGCUUCGCGGUGCAAUGUAUCUGGAAACAACAGUGAACCAGAGGCCAUGUCUUUGGCCUGUUGACCUCCUGGGCAUUGUGCCAUUUGCUCACUCAGAUGGCAUCUGAGGUCAAGUCUCCAUCUCCACUUGAGAAAUAUGGAAACUGAGCCCAGAGAGGUGUAGCAACUUGCCUGAGGUUGUCCAGCAAACAGGUCCCCAUCUUCUGCCCCACACAAGGCCCACGCCCCUGGGUUUGAGGAAGUGCCUGAUCAAAACUACUUAAAAUGACCAGAAAUAGUCCAAGGCCAGGACAAAGCACCUAAAGAAGCAGAGAGAACGAGAAGCCGGCCCCCAGUGACGUACGUCUUCCAGCCAGGCUGCAUCUUCUCAAGGCUCCAUAGCCUCUCCAAACACUGCCACCAACUGGGAAACCACAUGUUCAAACACAUGAGCCCAUGGCAAACAUUCCGCAUUCAAAUGGCUGCAGUCGCCCUGCCAGGCAAGGGCCAUCAAAGUCCACAUCACCAGUGACGAGUCAGACUGAUGAGGUGGCCGCAGUGGGACGACAGUGGUGUGCUACCUCUGUUCCUCCUCUCAGGAGCGCAAGACCCCACCAGGAGGGACAGGCUGGACAAGCUCCACGGAGGGCUAUCCAGCACAACUCGGACUGUCAAAGGACAAUUUCUGCAGAGAGUCUGUCACCUCCAAGAGGAGCCCCAAGAACCCUGAUGCCUCAGGGCCAGGCAUGGUCCUGAGCCAGAAAGGCAGGGAUAAGCCUAUCCAAGGCACAUCAGGAGCCACCCGAUGAUCUCAUUCACCAGAGAGAGAGGAGGAAGAAGGUCCUCAAGAAGGCUUGACAGAGCAGAAGACACCACUGAGGCCGCACAUGUGAGUCUGCUACCACAAAGGCGUUUAGACAUGGCCGUCUCU